CGAACGCUGGCGGCGUGCUUAACACAUGCAAGUCGAACGCGAAAGGUUUCUUCGGGAACCGAGUAGAGUGGCGCACGGGUGAGUAACGCGUAAGUAAUCUACCCUGGCAUCUGGGAUAACCCACCGAAAGGUGUGCUAAUACCGGAUACGCUGGAGACAGGAAAGGUGGCCUCUUCAUGAAAGCUACUGUGCCGGGAUGAGCUUGCGUACCAUUAGCUAGUUGGUGGGGUAAAGGCCUACCAAGGCGACGAUGGUUAGCGGGUCUGAGAGGAUGAUCCGCCACACUGGAACUGGAACACGGACCAGACUCCUACGGGAGGCAGCAGUGAGGAAUAUUGCGCAAUGGGGGAAACCCUGACGCAGCGACGCCGCGUGGAUGAUGAAGGCCUUCGGGUCGUAAAAUCCUGUCAGAUGGGAAGAAGUGUUAUAUGUUUAAUAUACAUAUAAUUUGACGGUACCAUCAAAGGAAGCACCGGCUAACUCC
rnacentral:rRNA from 1 species